AUGAACGGCAGGGUGACCCUGGAUCAGGGUUGGGCCACGUACGCAACCGUUCAUCAGAUCAAGAUCGGCUACAUGGUGACGUUCAAGCUCCUCACUCCCGACACCCUCAAGGUCAUCAUCUUCGACGACGAUGGCAUUGAGAUCGUCAACAAGUGCGGGAAGCACGACGAAGCCUUCGCCGCCAAGGAGUAG
rnacentral:rRNA from 1 species